AGUGAACGCUGGCGGUAGGCCUAACACAUGCAAGUCGAACGGCAGCACAGGAGAGCUUGCUCUCUGGGUGGCGAGUGGCGGACGGGUGAGGAAUACAUCGGAAUCUGCCCAGUCGUGGGGGAUAACGUAGGGAAACUUACGCUAAUACCGCAUACGACCUUCGGGGGAAAGAGGGGGAUCGCAAGACCUCCCGCGAUUGGAUGAGCCGAUGUCGGAUUAGCUAGUUGGCGGGGUAAUGGCCCACCAAGGCGACGAUCCGUAGCUGGUCUGAGAGGAUGAUCAGCCACACUGGAACUGAGACACGGUCCAGACUCCUACGGGAGGCAGCAGUGGGGAAUAUUGGACAAUGGGCGCAAGCCUGAUCCAGCCAUACCGCGUGGGUGAAGAAGGCCUUCGGGUUGUAAAGCCCUUUUGUUGGGAAAGAAAUCUUUCAGGCUAAUACCCUGGGAGGAUGACGGUACCCAAAGAAUAAGCACCGGCUAACUUCGUG
rnacentral:rRNA from 1 species